rnacentral:rRNA from 1 species
GAUGAACGCUGGCGGCGUGCCUAAUACAUGCAAGUCGAGCGAACGGACGAGAAGCUUGCUCUUCUGACGUUAGCGGCGGACGGGUGAGUAACACGUGGAUAACCUACCUAUAAGACUGGGAUAACUUCGGAAACCGGGGCUAAAACCGGAAAAUAUUCUUAACCCCAGGGUUUAAAUGGGAAAGACGGGCUUGCUGGUACCUAUAGAUGGAUCCGCGCCGCAUUAGCUAGUUGGUAAGGUAACGGCUUACCAAGGCAACGAAGCGUAGCCCACCUGAGAGGGUGAUCGGCCACACUGGAACUGAGACACGGUCCAGACUCCUACGGGAGGCAGCAGUAGGGAAUCUUCCGCAAUGGGCGAAAGCCUGACGGAGCAACGCCGCGUGAGUGAUGAAGGUCUUCGGAUCGUAAAACUCUGUUAUUAGGGAAGAACAUAUGUGUAAGUAACUGUGCACGUCUUGACGGUACCUAAUCAGAAAGCCACGGCUAACUACGUG